CUGGCUCAGAUUGAACGCUGGCGGCAGGCCUAACACAUGCAAGUCGAACGGUAACAGGAAUCAGCUUGCUGAUUCGCUGACGAGUGGCGGACGGGUGAGUAAUGUCUGGGAAACUGCCUGAUGGAGGGGGAUAACUACUGGAAACGGUAGCUAAUACCGCAUAACGUCGCAAGACCAAAGAGGGGGACCUUCGGGCCUCUUGCCAUCGGAUGUGCCCAGAUGGGAUUAGCUAGUAGGUGGGGUAACGGCUCACCUAGGCGACGAUCCCUAGCUGGUCUGAGAGGAUGACC
rnacentral:rRNA from 1 species